rnacentral:rRNA from 1 species
AGAUUGAACGCUGGCGGCAGGCCUAACACAUGCAAGUCGAGCGGCAGCACGGGUACUUGUACCUGGUGGCGAGCGGCGGACGGGUGAGUAAUGCCUAGGAAUCUGCCUGGUAGUGGGGGAUAACGCUCGGAAACGGACGCUAAUACCGCAUACGUCCUACGGGAGAAAGCAGGGGACCUUCGGGCCUUGCGCUAUCAGAUGAGCCUAGGUCGAUUAGCUAAUUGGUGAGGUAAUGGCUCACCAAGGCGACGAUCCGGUAACUGGCUGAGAGGAUGAUCAGUCACACGUGGAACUGAGACGACGGUCCAGACCUCCCGACGGGAGGCAGCUAGGUGGGAAUAGUUGGACAAUGGGACAAAGCCUGA